GUCGUAACAAGGUUUCCGUAGGCGAACCUGCGGAAGGAUCAUUACCACACCGAUCCACGAGAUCUAUCACCCCAUCGCGAACUGUGAAUAUUUUUUCUUGUUUAUCUAUGGACUAUAUCGUAUUUGUGUGUGUGUUUGGUAUUGGAAGCUUGUUUUUUCAAUUUCCAAACUAGCACAUGUAAUAUGUGUAUGGUUCUCAACAAACGCCAAACUUUUUCUAUUAUCUUUUUUUUACAUCUUAUGUCUUUUUCCGUCCCUUUUUUCUCUGCUUCUGUGGAGAGAACCGGACAAGGAACAAAGAAAUAAGAACAAAAACGAAUAGCCAAACAACUUUCAGCGAUGGAUAUCUUGGCUCUC
rnacentral:misc_RNA from 1 species